GUGGGGAAUAUUGCGCAAUGGCCGCAAGGCUGACGCAGCGACGCCGCGUGUGGGAUGAAGCCCUUCGGGGUGUAAACCACUGUUGCUCGGGAAGAAUUCACGGGGUUUCCCCGUGUUGACGGUACCGAGUGAGGAAGCACCGGCUAACUCCGUGCCAGCAGCCGCGGUAAUACGGAGGGUGCGAGCGUUGUCCGGAAUCACUGGGCGUAAAGGGCGCGUAGGUGGCUUGGCGCGCGUGCGGUGAAAGCCCGGGGCUUAACCCCGGGUCUGCCGUGCGGACGGCCAGGCUAGGGCACUGUAGAGGCAGGUAGAAUUCCGGGUGUAGCGGUGGAAUGCGUAGAGAUCCGGAAGAAUACCGGUGGCGAAGGCGGCCUGCUGGGCAGUUGCCGACACUGAGGCGCGACAGCGUGGGGAGCAAACAGGAUUAGAAACCCGUGUAGUCC
rnacentral:rRNA from 1 species